AGCUUUAAGAAGGUUCGGGUGGUGGCAGCAGUUUGCCUUCAGCCGCCUUAGAGCAUUAUGCCUAUUUGGAAUCCUCCUGGAGAAGUUACAUUCCCACACUAUCUUAAAAAACAGACCUGCAGGGCCCAGAUCUCUCUUGGGAGAAUGUUCCAUUAGGCUGGCACCAGAACUGAGAAGGGCCCUUCUGUUGGUGCCAACUUGCAUAUGGAGUGGACCAAGCCAACAACUGCCUGUCUAUGUGCAUUCUCUGUGACAGUCCCCACCUUCUGGAGCUGCCUGCCUGGAGAGGUUCAGAAGGCGCCCACUCUCCUGACUUUCUGCAAAUGAUGCAAAAUGGAAUGAUUCAAGAGGACUUUUUCGAUGCAAGCAACAGUGUUAAACUGUACUAAAGUUAAUAGGAUAAAUAGACUCUGGUCUGUACUCCUGUGUGUGCUUGUUGAAAUUAGGAUCCUGCUAUGGAAUUUUGCAUCAUUUAAAUGUGUCAUGUUAUGCUUUGCUUCAGUUCUUUUUUUUAGACUUCUGGUUCUAAAGCCCUAAUCCUAUUGUGUUGUUUACUGAAUGUCCCUUCCUUUUGAUUGUCUUAACUUGCUCUGUGUGAUCCAUCUUAAUUCCAAGUGAGAAAGGUGAACUACAAAUAAUGUAAAAUAAAUACAAUUAAUACAAAUUUUAAAA